AUCAAUAAGCGGAGGAAAAGAAACCAACAGGGAUUGCCUUAGUAGCGGCGAGUGAAGCGGCAAAAGCUCAAAUUUGAAAUCUGGCACUUUCAGUGUCCGAGUUGUAAUUUGAAGAAGGUAUCUUUGGGUCUGGCUCUUGUCUAUGUUUCUUGGAACAGAACGUCACAGAGGGUGAGAAUCCCGUGCGAUGAGAUGUCCCAGACCUAUGUAAAGUUCCUUCGAAGAGUCGAGUUGUUUGGGAAUGCAGCUCUAAGUGGGUGGUAAAUUCCAUCUAAAGCUAAAUAUUGGCGAGAGACCGAUAGCGAACAAGUACAGUGAUGGAAAGAUGAAAAGAACUUUGAAAAGAGAGUGAAAAAGUACGUGAAAUUGUUGAAAGGGAAGGGCUUGAGAUCAGACUUGGUAUUUUGUAUGUUACUCUCUCGGGGGUGGCCUCUACAGUUUACCGGGCCAGCAUCAGUUUGAGCGGUAGGAUAAGUGCAAAGAAAUGUGGCACUGCUUCGGUAGUGUGUUAUAGUCUUUGUCGAUACUGCCAGCUUAGACUGAGGACUGCGGCUUCGG
rnacentral:rRNA from 1 species